rnacentral:tRNA from 1 species
CUAAGGAUGAUCCUUCAGCGAGCUCACGCUCACUAUCGGAUCGUUUUAGAAACAUCAGUGGCCAACAGAUCGCCAGAUCGUUGAGCUGCAUUGGCGGGAUUUCGCCGUCUUCGUUUCUCUUUCUUCGCGGACGAACACGCGCCGGGCCUGCAUCGAGCAGGAUCCCACGGUCCCUGACGGGAUAUGCGUUAGGGGCUUGUAGCUCAGUUGGUUAGAGCGCGCGCUUGAUAAGCGUGAGGUCGGAAGUUCAAGUCUUCCCAGGCCCACCACUUUCAUCGAGUGAGCAUUCGUCUUCUGGUUACGGGGCCAUAGCUCAGCUGGGAGAGCGCGUGCUUUGCAAGCAUGAGGUCGUCGGUUCGAUCCCGUCUGGCUCCACCAGAUGGUUUGAUCACCGAGAUCUUGCACCGUCGUCCGCGAAACAUCACUUCGCAUCUCGCUAGUCUGGAUAGACAGCAAGAUGCGUGUUUUCUGACAUCGUAAAGAGGAGAUCGAUCCGAGUUGGAUCGUGCGGCAGAUUGUUGCGCGAAUCCUUCAUUAUCUCCGGAUCAUUUCGGCGCUCGCUCUCAGCCGUGAGGUUGAAUGCGAGUUGUAAAAUGAUCCUUUUAGCGAAGCUUGACCGCCUCGCUAUCGGAACGAUCUUACGAAGCAAGCUGGUCUUUCUAGUCAAUGUCCGGCUGCACGUAGCAUUCAUCGAGGGUGCGCGCCGAAAGGCAAUCGUGCAGACAACAUUCUGCCGAGUGUGUGGACAUUGAUAAUGAGAGC